AAAUUACCCAGCAAUCUGCGGUGUAUUGUUCGAAAUGAACGUUUAUCAGCAAUGGACUUUCUGCUGUACUAUAUAUCUCGCAUAAUUUAUCAAAAGGACCUAAAUUGAUAGCCAUUUUCAAAAUGAAAAAUCCGAGAAAAAAUCAUUUGCGAUUCGCUUGUGUGAAAAUGUGCGCGUUUUUAGUGACCGGAAUCUUGCAGGAACCUGAAGUGUGGCGACGAAACAGGUACAAGACGACUUCACUGCGCUGCGUUCGAUGCUGCUUUUUGUGCUGUAUAUCGAGCUGUAUAUGGCACUCAACGAGAAUGAAAAUCGUACACGUGUGACUUUUCCAAAAUUGGAUUUUGGUUUUUGAUUGUUUCUAAAGUUGAAUUUAAAUAAAAUGCUUAAGACGAUCCCCACCAGUGCGUAAAUAAAGCCAAAAUAGCAACCUCUAUCAUGACGCGAGCUCGCACCGGUCGUUGGUAAACGGGUUUGGGAAAUGUAAACGCAACCUUCGGUGAAUAGCGAGUUGGCAAAUUUGGCGACCCGCUCCAACCGUUGCCAAACCAUCACACGGAAAUAUACACUGAAAUUAAAUCACCGUUAUAUUCUAUGUGCGCAAAUCAUAUGAAAACGAUUCGACAGGAGUUAUCACGAUUUCAUGUGCAGCAUUUAGAAUGAAUUAAUCAACAAGGAUAUUUAAUAGCUAUCUAUAUAUAAUAUAAAGGUAAUCUUUUUACAUGUCAUUGGAACUGCCAGUGAAUUUUAUGUGCAAUGGUUGAUAGUUGAUAAUUAUCGAUUCCUGCACAUAAAACUUAAUAGCGAACUCUAAUAGACAUUUUUGUCGUGGAAUGUUUGUGGUUGGAAGGUUCCGCCGUUCCGCCAGCAAAAUUUGUACCUGCACCAGUGCCGGAAUAAGCCAUCUAUCCGUGAUGGAAUCGGCUGCGAGAUGGAUUGCAGUGUGCUCGUUUCAUCAUAAAAGCCGAAAGUUGAAACACUUCUGAGCUUGGGCCACAACACGGUGGCAAUCACCGUUGUUUGGUUUCGUGGUAGCUGAUAGAUCAGAAGUUUCCAUCCUUUGAAGAUGAUCCCAAGUAAGAAGACCCUGGAGCGGAAAUAUUUACAAAUGAUCAAUUUUGACCUGCAAAUGGACCAUUCUUAUUCGUUCAUGUAAAACCGUUUCGCUGCUGUGGGAGCCAUAAAUUAUCGCCGUGGUCCUGGCUAGUAAGUUGCUGCUGCGAAUGCUGCCGAUUGCUGACGAAAAAUGAAAAUUCUGGAAGACAUUUAUCAUCAGGUGCCGGAGCUGUUCUACCUGCAACCAAUCCCCAAGCCACUUCCAGCCAGUCUGCUGCAGUUGCCAUCAAGCAAAUCAUCGCCACCGAUGAAACGUGCCAGCGUUUGCUACAACUCUACGGUACUCCCUCCUUUGCAAAAGUUGCCAGAUCAACCCUGGCAGAAUUACUCGCAUCCGCACUAUACUGUCCACUCUCCGGAUCACCAAGAAAAACAUCGCUAGUACCAAUAUAUAUAGGGGUCGACCAUUAAUUACGUAAGCAUUUUUUCUGGGUUUUUCGAAACCCCCUUCCCCUUGUAAGAUUUUUCCCAUACAAAUUAUUCUUUGUUUAUAUGCAAAGUAAGAAAAUGACAGACCUCCUUCCUUCUAAGUGCUUACGUAAUUAGUGUACGACCCAAAGAAACUGUGCUGCAUAGUAAUUCAUUGUACCAUCGAUUGUAAACAUCAUGAUUUUAUUCCGCUAACAGAAAAUUAUAAUUAAAAACCUUUAUUUAAA